rnacentral:tRNA from 1 species
AUUUAUAUAAUAUAAAUAAUUAUGUUUGACUUCCAAUCAAAAAAUCUAAGAAAUUAGUAUAAAUA